rnacentral:rRNA from 1 species
AGAGUUUGAUCCUGGCUCAGGAUGAACGCUAGCUACAGGCUUAACACAUGCAAGUCGAGGGGCAGCAUUUUAGUUUGCUUGCAAACUGAAGAUGGCGACCGGCGCACGGGUGAGUAACACGUAUCCAACCUGCCGAUAACUCGGGGAUAGCCUUUCGAAAGAAAGAUUAAUACCCGAUGGCAUAAUUAGACCGCAUGGUCUUGUUAUUAAAGAAUUUCGGUUAUCGAUGGGGAUGCGUUCCAUUAGGCAGUUGGUGAGGUAACGGCUCACCAAACCUUCGAUGGAUAGGGGUUCUGAGAGGAAGGUCCCCCACAUUGGAACUGAGACACGGUCCAAACUCCUACGGGAGGCAGCAGUGAGGAAUAUUGGUCAAUGGGCGAGAGCCUGAACCAGCCAAGUAGCGUGAAGGAUGACUGCCCUAUGGGUUGUAAACUUCUUUUAUAUGGGAAUAAAGUUUUCCACGUGUGGAAUUUUGUAUGUACCAUAUGAAUAAGGAUCGGCUAACUCCGUGCCAGCAGCCGCGGUAAUACGGAGGAUCCGAGCGUUAUCCGGAUUUAUUGGGUUUAAAGGGAGCGUAGAUGGAUGUUUAAGUCAGUUGUGAAAGUUUGCGGCUCAACCGUAAAAUUGCAGUUGAUACUGGAUAUCUUGAGUGCAGUUGAGGCAGGCGGAAUUCGUGGUGUAGCGGUGAAAUGCUUAGAUAUCACGAAGAACUCCGAUUGCGAAGGCAGCUUACUGGAUUGUAACUGACGCUGAUGCUCGAAAGUGUGGGUAUCAAACAGGAUUAGAUACCCUGGUAGUCCACACAGUAAACGAUGAAUACUCGCUGUUUGCGAUAUACAGUAAGCGGCCAAGCGAAAGCGUUAAGUAUUCCACCUGGGGAGUACGCCGGCAACGGUGAAACUCAAAGGAAUUGACGGGGGCCCGCACAAGCGGAGGAACAUGUGGUUUAA